GCGAGUGGUGGAAAGCUAAUCUUAUCAGCGAUUAUUAGCGGACGACGGGCGUCCAGAUAACGGUUUGGUAUAAAAUACCGGGCCGGCUAACUGAUAGGCAAACCCAACUAGUCAAGUUUUUUCACUUUUCUCGAGAAAUCCGCAGAGUAAUAGAAAGAGAAAUGGGAGCACCAGGUGGACCACCCGAUGGACCCGAUGGAAAGGGAGGACAGCAGGGUGGACCAAAUGACGGUCCCGGAGGCCACGGAGGCCAGGGAGGCCAUGGAGGUCAGGGAGGUCACGGAGGACCUAACGAUGGUCCCGGAGGACAGGGAGGACACGGUGGCCCACACUAACGAGUCCGCGAAAGAAGAGCAUAUCGUCUCAAUGCUUGAAUAAUAGUUGGCCGCAUUUCUCAUUGUUGGUGGCCGAUAUGGACAUUUUUGAUGAAUAAACAUUUUUGUAUUGUACAGAA
rnacentral:lncRNA from 1 species